CAAAAUGAGAAUUCCCAUGAGUUUUCGAAAUAUAUUCCUUUCCAUUUCGAAACGUUGCGAAACAAUCUGAGGCCGUGAAACAGUUGGCAAUUAGUGUCAUUGUUCCCGCCAUGCCACAUCUUCAAAAAAACAACUGUUGUGACACUGAUGGAUUGGAUGAGGUUUUCAAGAAAUCUCCAAUUUUAAUGACCCGUUGGAUGUUUAGUGUGUAUAAUUAGAAAUGCAAGCUUCAAAUGCAACAUCGGAUCUUCGCUUCAUCAUGUGUGUUUAUAAUUUUUUUUUUCUCAGUGAUUUAAUGCAACAAAAAUAAUUGCGAUUUUCUUCCUCAGUUUCUUUUGAUUGUGAUCAUGAUGCUUGCAGUCAUUUUUCCAACAUGAUGUUACAUCUUUAAAAAAAAAUCAAACACUUCCAUUCGAGUAGAAAACAUGGCAAACUCGAUACGAAGAAUGUUCAACUUUCUUCAAUUGUGCGUAUGAUGAUUGAAAUCAGUUUUCCAAUGGCAGCAAUACAUUUAAAAAAAUCGACUUCAACGAACUUCACGCCAACAACAUUUUAAUCUUCAAUUCUUGAUAUCUUCUGGAUGAGUAUGGUAUUUUUGAUUUUUUUUGAUUAUCAUUUUUCAAUUUUCCAAAUUAUGAUUAAUUUUAGCUAAUAAUUUUACUUUUUCUAUUUUUAAACCUACUUUCUGAUUUUUAGAAUUCAAGUAUUUAGUAGACACCCGACCCUUCUCCCACUAUAAACUCUGUUGUUGUUUUCUUACUCAUUGUCAUUGUCCCAUUAUAGCCGUUUUGUCAAAGAUUAUUGAAUAUUACUUAAGGCACUUGCAGACUAAAACUAUAGGCUACGCACUCUGACAAACACGUUCCCUAAAUCAAUUGCGCGAGUCUACAAAAAUGUUCUUCCUGGAACACGUGCAAGCUAUUGCGGAAACGUUUCGUAACUCAACAAAGAAUUGUGCAAUUGCUCUUUUUCCAACACGUUAUAGUGCAGACAAUGUAUAUUUGUGUCCGCAAAUGAUUUUGAGUUUUUAUUUACAAUAUUUAUUAUUUUUUUUAUAUACCGAUUUUUUCAAUGUGUCCCUGUUCCCUCGUCUCCAUUUUACUGUUGAACCAAUUAAUAAUUCAAAAUAUUUAAUAUUUUGAAAGUCGCUUUAAACUGUUAAGACUUUAGCGACCGGCAGAUUUAACUGCAAGCAAGAUUUGCAGUAUCACAUGAAGAAAAUUUCAUCUGUUAUAACUUUAUGUCACGGAGAUCCAAUUCGUUAAGUGAAUGCAAAAUGGGAUUGUGAUCACAACUCGCAAUCGCAUGUGACGCAAAGCUCAUUUUAUUGUAUUGAAUUGAAAUUUCCAUUUUGCUUGUACAGAAUCAAAGCUUUUCGUGAACAAAGCUUAUUCUGCUCAACGACUACACUAGUUGAAAAGAUCAGUAAAUUUUUCACAUUUUUCUCCACGGCGCUUUCUGAAACUUUCUUUGAUGUCAUCAUGACUGCUAUAUCAGUGAGAACAAAGUUAUCAAAGAUCAUAAAUGUUCUAAUAACAAUGCUUGGAGAAGUGUUCAAAAAUUACUGAUAGAUCACGUGUUCCGAUGAGCAAUUUUUUGUUUUUCACACAAUCUAAAAGAUGAUUCAACUGAACACUCAGUAACAUUACGUUUCAAUUCAAAUCAAUGAAAAUUCGUGAGUUUGAAACUGUAAGAAAAUUUCAGUUUAUCGGAAACUGAAGAUUAUGAUAAUGUUACUUGCAAUUGUGUUUCUAUCUUUUGGAGUUUGGAGUACAUGUUGUUUGCAAUUCAAGUCCACGGAAAAAUCCUAUUUCACUUAGUACGCAGUAUUCAACUAUACCUGUGUAAUAAUUCUUCUGAACAAACGACAUGUGAUUCAAGUCUACAAGGUUUCAACAUGUGGUUAAGAAUUAGCCAAGCCAUGUUUGAGGUGUGAUAUCUAUGGAACUGUGGAAGGUAAGGACCCGUUCCUUCCUGAUGACCUAUGCUUUAUCUAUUGUCGUGUGGACGAUUACCAGCCGAUAUCAGUGUACCAUACGUUUUCGCUGGGUUGGUAGAACACACUAUGACGUUCAGCGUUUUUGAUUAGCACUAUUUUGUAAUAUUUGAAAGAAAGUUUCACAUUAAGGUUGAAAUUUUCUUGUCCAUUUCAAUAAUUUCAAACCAAUAAAUGUUAAGCUUCUGGCUACUAAUAAAUUGCCUACUGUGACGUCCUUUCGGUAAUUAUAUUUGGCCACAGGAUGGACUCCUGGUCCUACUCAUCCGAGGGUGUUUGGAGAAGUUAUAUAUCAUAAGCAGGCAGGGCGCCUCGCCUACAGUAGCUCUAAAGCUUUUCAGCGUUCAUAAAGAUUAAGCUGGGAAACGCUACAUAGCUUCAUUUUUUGCAAUGCCUAUUGCCAAAAAGAAUGAGAAGUUGUCGCGGAAAUGAGAGAGGCAUAAAAGCGUACUAGUAACGCUUCUCACCUCAUACCGCGUAUCUAUUCGCUGAAAUAGAAAGAGGCCGAUAGGCUGUACUAUCAAUUUAAAAGAAAAGUGAAACUUCUUUACGCGGUAAUUGAAACCUCAUACCGCGUAUCUAUUCAAUUGAAUAGAAAAGCCUUAAGGCUAAAAAUGUUAUUGGUGGCUGUGAAGCCAAAUUCUGUUGAACACUAAAAUGAAUGAAACAGUUUUGUCUGUUUAACGCGGUAUUUGAAACCUCAUACCGCGUAUCUAUUCAUUUGAAUAGAGAAACAACAGGGCAUAGAAUGUUAUUGGCUGCUGUGAAGCCAAAUCCUGUUUUCAAGGUUUAAGAAACAGUUUUGUCUGUUUAACGCGGUAUUUGAAACCUCAUACCGCGUAUCUAUUCAAUUGAAUAGAAAAGCUUCUUGGGGUGGACACUGGUAGUAACACCAGCCAAUGUCCUUUGCUUAAUAAACAAUAUUAUUGUAUUGUUUAAAAUGUUGUUGGCAACUGUAAAGUCAACUCCUGUUUUCAAGCAGCGAUGAGCAGAUUUCACUGCGAUACGCGGUAUGACACGUCAUACCGCGUAUCUAUUCAAUUGAUUUUAGAAGCCCUAAGGCUUUAAAGUUUGUUGGUGGCUUUGAAGCCAACUACUGUUUUCAGGGCUUAUGUAACAUAUUUGUUUGUUUUACGCGGUAUAACACCUCAUACCGCGUAUCUAUUCAAUUGAAUAGAAAAGCCUUAAGGCUAUAAAUUUUGUUGGUGGUGCUGGCGGAUGGUCGGCAAGCCUAUUGGUAUGCCUUCCACCGUCUGCGUCUCUCCACCUAGUGGAGCGGCGCUAAGAGUAGGAGAGGGCAGUCUUGGUGAGGGCAACCUCGAGAGGUAACGGUUGAGCCCGACUCGCAUAUUAUUCUACUUCUAUUGUAUCUAACUUACUCUACUGUUUCUUAUUAUAUCUUUCUUAUAUAAAUUCUUAUAUAUUCUACUAUUGGACUUAGAACCUGGGCUCGGUCCCUAACCAUACGAGAGUGGAAUAAAGAGAUCCACACUAAUAGGCAGGAGCGGAGCACCCCGCCUACAGUGGCUUUGAAGCCAAAUCCUGUUUUCAAGGAAAUAAAAACAUAUAUAUAUAUAUAUAUGUUUAACGCGGUAUUUAAAACCUCAUACCGCGUAUCUAUUCAAUUGAAUAGAAAAGUCUUGAGACUUUAAAUGUUAUUGAUAGCUGUACAGCUGAUUAUUAGUUUCAAGAAAUGCAAAUUGACAGUGUUAUGAAACUCUACCGUUCAGUUUUAACAAGGAAUCAACCAACUUCAUGUCAACCUACUCAAUGUUUUCAAUUCAUUCUCAUUUUUCAAUCUGUUCAGUUUAAUUUAUACUCAACUCUGAUAUAAUCUGAUUUUGAAUAAAUUUGUAUCAACAGUGUGUUCAGUAAUUUUUGAAACGUUUCCAUUUCCAUCCUGCAAAGCGCCCAAAUGUGGGUAAGUUUGCAAGUGCUCAAAUUUAUCAUCUAGUUCUUUGACAAAACGGAUAUAAAGUUUUAACAGCAAUCUUUCACAAUUCUUAAACCUUCAUUUCGUUUACUUUUUUCAAACGUUUUUUUUUAUUUCAGCUCAUAUAAAUAUGUUUAUGAUA
ensembl:lincRNA linc-22 ncRNA